rnacentral:tRNA from 1 species
GAUUAGCUCAGUUGGUUAGAACAUGGUGCUAAUACCAGCAAAGUCAUGGGUUCAAUCCCUACAUGGGUCA